CUGAUGGCUUCAGCAGCACGUAUACUCAAAUUGGAAUGAUACAGAGAAGAUUGGCGUGGCCCCUGUGCAAGGACGACAAGCAAAUUCAUGAAGCGAUGCAUAAGAAA
ensembl:snRNA U6 U6 spliceosomal RNA